AAGUUCUUAUUAUGAGUCUGUGAGACUUAAAUUAUAAACUAGGAUUAGAUACCCUACUAUUUUAAGUGUAAAUUUAUUUGCCUGGGUAUUAAUAGAUAAGGUCUUUAAACCCAAAGAAUUUGGCGGUACCUUAUUCCAUUCAGAGGAACCUACCCCGUAAUUGAUAGUACACGAUUAACUUUACUUGGUCUAUUUGUUUGUAUAUCUCCGUUAUCAGAAAAUCUUUUUAGAGUUUUAAUUUUCAUGUUUCAAAAUUAUGAAAUAUUUCAGGUCAAGGUGCAGCUUAUGAUUGAGAGGAGGUGGGUUACAAUAAGUUUUUGCUUAUUACGGUUUUUGUGAUGCAAUUAUUAUAAAUUAAGGUGGAUUUGAUAGUAAUUUGAUUGAUUUAAUUCUUUUGAUAUUGGCUCUAGGGUGUGUACACAUCGCCCGUCACUCUCAUUAUUGAAUUAUUUAAUUUGUUUUAUUUGUUCAAAUUAGAUGAGAUAAGUCGUAACAUAGUAGAUGUACUGGAAAGUGUAUCUGGAAAGGUGUC
rnacentral:rRNA from 1 species